AAGCUUGGUAUAUCAUUGUUUGAGUUAAACACUCCCAUGGAAGAUGUUAGCAAUAUAUUCCACAAUGAUCUACUCCCAUCUCUAGGAGCAAGAGCAAACCAAUCUAUCAAGUUGAGGAAAUUCAUCAUUUCUCCUUAUGAUCCCUGUUACAGAAUCUGGGAGACGUUCUUGCUUGUGCUUGUUGUUUACUCAGCAUGGAUCUGCCCAUUUGAACUAGCAUUUCUGAGACAUCUCUCAUGGGAACUUUUUCUGGUUGAGAACAUUAUCGAUAGCUUCUUUGCAAUAGAUAUCAUUCUCACUUUUUUUAUAGCAUAUCUGGAUCAGAAGUCGUAUCUUCUAGUGGAUAAUCCAAAAAGGAUUGCAGCUAGAUAUAUCUCCUCCUGGUUCAUAUUUGAUGUUUGUUCAACAAUUCCGUAUCAAUCAUUUGGGCUACUAUUUAAAAAGCGCGCAAAUGGUCUUGCCUAUAGGAUGCUUAACAUGCUUCGGUUAUGGCGCCUCCGACGCCUCAGUGCUUUAUUUGCCAGGCUUGAGAAGGAUAUCAGAUUGGACUACUACUGGACAAGAUGCAUCAAACUAAUUUCUGUUACUCUUUUUGCAGUACAUUGUUCAGGAUGCUUCAAUUACUUAAUAGCUGAUAGAUACCCCAAUCCAGCAAGAACCUGGAUAGGAGCAGCAAUACCAAACUACAGAUCAGAGAGCCUAUGGGUUAGAUAUGUUACAUCAAUCUAUUGGUCCAUUACAACGCUCACAACAACCGGUUAUGGGGAUUUGCAUGCAGAAAAUCCAAGAGAGAUGCUAUUCAGUACGUGCUACAUGCUCUUUAACCUGGGACUGACAGCAUACAUCAUAGGUAACAUGACAAACCUGGUUGUCCAAGGAAGUUGCCGUACCAGAAAUUUUAGAGACACAAUCCAUGCUGCUUCUCAGUUUGCUGCAAGAAAUCAGUUACCUAAACGCAUAAGAGAUGAAAUGCUAGCUCAUAUCUGCCUAAGGUAUAAGACAGAGGGUCUCAAACAGAAGGAAACUUUGGACAGUCUCCCAAAGGGAAUUCGAUCAAGCAUAGCAUACCACUUAUUCUUCCCGAUCAUCGAAAAAGUCUAUCUUUUUCGCGGUGUUUCCUUUACUUGCAUGCUCCAACUGGUCACUGCAAUGGAAGCAGAGUACUUUCCACCACGAGAACUUGUCAUAUUGAAAAAUGAAGCACCGACAGAUGUUUACAUAUUAGUUUCAGGAGCAGUGGAAGAGCGGAUUGAGAUUGAUGGGGUUGAAAAAGUUCAGGGAGUACUGUCCACUGGUGAAAUAUUUGGUGAAAUCGGGGCUCUCUGCAAUGUUCCCCAGCCAUUUACAGUCUGUACAACCAAAGUUUCACAACUCUUGAGGGUGAGCACAAUAGUGCUAAAAUCAAUUCUUGAGGAUAACAAAGAAGACAAACAAAUUGUACUUAACAAUAUAUUUCAGAAAACAGGGAAAUCUGUAGGAAUGCAUAAUCAACACUUCAGAAAGUACAAUAGCCAUUUCACCUUCAACCAAGUCAGUCAAGAAAGUGAAUCAGAAGGAAAAGGAAGAUUGACAUUGUGUUGCGGAGAUGAGCACUGUAAAAAAAAAACUUGAAGAAAUAGAUAGCCAUGGACCAAUUCAUAAGACUGCAAAAUACAGUAAAUUCAACAGAAACAAUUAUUUGCUUGCUGAAGGUGAAGGCAUCGAAAAACAUAUUCCUGCAAAAAUGAUGUGUGUGGAGUGUAUGGACAAAGGCAAGACAGACGUUCAUCAACAGAUGUUGACUGACAGUAGCAUCACAGGAUCUGAAAAGGCCCAUGUCAUUAUGCAAAACACACAGGAACACGCAAAAAUCAGGCAGUCAACUACCCCAGGUAAGAUGCUUGCGUUCUCGGUGGCUGGGAACCUUCAGGAGAUGACUGAUAAGUGCACAUGUGGUGGCAUACGUUCGGAUAAGGAUGGUGGUUCUGUGGUCUCAGGAAAUAAAAGAGUGACGAUUCACAUGUAUUCACAGAAGAACACAAAUUUGAGGGUCCCUGCAAAAGUUAUAAAUCUACCAGGAUCUAUGGAUGAAUUAUUCACUGUAGCUAGUCAGAAGUUUGCUGGUCAUUGUCCCACAAAACUGCUAAAUCAAGAAUUUGCAGAAAUUGAAGAUAUUACAGUUAUUCGAGAUGGUGACCAUUUGUUUCUUAUGGAGUCUUGAUUAUGGAAGCUUCGCAUCAUAAAAGACAUCAAUUACGCAAAGAGCAACAUUUCCUUUCCCCUCUAGAAAACCAACAACUAGAGGAGUGGCUGCUGAUUGGCUCGCUUGCACGGUUUUUACCCAUUUAUGAGCCAUAGCCGCAUGUUCUCUGUGUUUCAACCUCAAGUUCUAACAAAGAGUGCAAUAAGGCCUCCCAGGAUCAUGGUUGCCUACUUGAAAUUCCUUGAAGUAGCCACAGACUUCCCAGAUCUCUGCCAAAUGUUGAUUGAUGCAAGUCCCUGCAUGAGUUCUAUCUUACUCAUUGCAUGUGCAUGUAAAAGUUUCUUAAGACCAUUUUGUAAUUUUCGUUUUAUGAAGGUAGUACAGCAUAAACUACUAUAGCUAUUCGUGAGCUAUGUCAUAGGAACUACCUAAAAAGCAAAAUUUUGAUGUUGGCAAACAUAAUUGUGGAACUUGGUGGAAUUAUGAAGAACAUUUGCUACUUAGGAGAAAAUCAGAGCUACAUUUUUUUAGGGAAGUAGUGUACAGACUAUAGAGAGAUGAAGAAAGUUAUAGUAGCUCUGUUCUGCAGACUUAA